rnacentral:lncRNA from 1 species
UCAUGGAGCUAGGAAAGCCAACCAUUACAAACAACAAAUUGUGUUUGACUUGGGGCUACUUUGGCAUUUCUCUUCUAUAACUUCUACCUUUUAAAAUGACUUUUGGUUCAGAAUAAUAUUAAAUAGAGGCUGGAGAGAAAAAUUGCUCAGCAGGUAAGAGCACUUACUGCUUUUUCAGAUGACCUGGAUUUGGUUCCUAGAACCCACAUGGAAGCUCACAACCAUCUUUAACUCCAGUUCCAAGGUACCUGAUGUUCUCCUCUGGCCUCUGUAGACACCUGUAUUCAUGUGGUACAAAAAAUUCUACACACAUACUCCUAACAAUAAAAAGUAAACUUAAAAAAGAAUUAUAUUAAGUAAAAUUCAUUCUCUCAGAACAACCAGACAAAUAAACUGGCAUGUAAGGAAAGUUGCAUUUGUGUGGUGUGGUGUGUGUGUAUAUAUGUUAUGUGUGGUAUGUAUGAGAGUGUGUGUAUGGUGUGUUGUGAGUGUAUGUGUGGUGUGUGUGUAUAUAUGGUGUGUGUAUAUGAUAUGUGUGGUAUGUGUGAGAGUGUCUGUAGUAGGUGUGUGAGUGUAUUGUGAUGUGUGAUGUGUGUGUGUGUGUGUGUGUGUGUGAUGUGUAUGGUAUGUAUGGUGUAUGUGUGUGUGUGCUUUUGCAGUAUGUAUGAGUAUGUGUGUGUGGUAUGUGAGGCAGAGAUCAAUGUUGGAUAAUAUUUCUUAGUGACCUAUUGCAGGAUUUUCCAUGUCCAAUCACAUUAGGGCAGUGGGAAGCCUGUGAUUGGACAGGGAAAAGGGAGGCAGAGCUAAGAGUCACAGAGAGAGGGAGCAUCUCAGAGUAGGGGGAGAAGGAAGGUGGCAUGGUAUUUACCAACCACAAGUAGCUAUGAUUUCACGAGGUUAGAAAUAUUGGGUUAAUCUUUUAUCAUUAUCAAUUGGCUCUGAAAUUAUUGUAUUGGCAUCUUAUAAAUUGUGAUAUUAUUGAUACAUAAAUCUGAUUGGUUAAUUAAGCAUUAAGAGUUUUGAUUCGACCAGGGUACUGGGUAUUGUGAUAUGAUGGUGAUGUAUUGUGUGUAGUAGUGAGAGGAACUCGACGGGCCCCCUGCCAAAGAGAUGGCUCAAUGGGAACCCUGUGGUCGGGUGUGGCUGGAGAUUUGGCGGGUGUCUUAGUCAGGAUUUCUACUCCUGCACAAACAAACCUUGGCUAUCUCUGGAAGCCAGCCUCUUUGUGCUCCCAGAAAACAUUUCCCAGAAGAUGUCACCUCAAUGAUGCUGGUCUCUUCUUAAUCACCACUAAUUUCUUAGCUCCAGCUAACCAGCAUCAAUAGUCCCAGUAAUGCAAAGGGUUUGCUUUAGUAGUUCUGAUAUCUUCUUAAUCACAGUUGAUUCUUCAGCCCCAGCUAACCAGAACCACAGAAUCUUCACAAUCAAAAUAGCAACAGCCCUGAUAAGAGUCAUUAAUCUUCCCUCUGAAAUUUCACAAGCCAGGCCUCCAUCUUCUGCACUGUUCUCAACAUUAUCUUCCAGGCUCCUAUAGAACAUCUCACAGAGCUCUGAACACCAAAUAGAUUUUCUAGCCCAAAGUUCUAAAGUGCUUCCACAGUCCUCCCCAAAGCAUAGUCAGGUUGUCACAAGAACACCUCGCUCCUGGUACCAAUUUGUCUUAGUCAGGGUUUCUAUUCCUGCACAAACAUGAUGACCAAGAAGCAAGAUGGGGGGGGGGGGAAAGGGUUUAUUCAGCUUACACUUCCAUACUGCUGUUCAUCACCAAAGGAAAGCAGGACUGGAACUCAAGCAGGCCAGUAAGUAACAUCCCUUCAUGGCCUCUGCAUCAGCUCCUGCUUCCUGACCUGCUGAAGUUCCAGUCCUGCUAAACUGAAUAAGCUCUUUCCUCCCCAACUUGCUUCUUGCUUAUGAUGUUUGUGCAGGAAUAGAAACCCUGACUAAGACAGUGGGUUUAUUUUUAAUAUUUCCUGCAACAGAGACCAAAUACCUGUCUUUUUGAAACAAGGUUUCUUACUGUGAUCUUAGGCUCACUAAUUAGAUAGGAUUUGGUUGGCUACUUCUACCUCCCCAGUGCUGGAAUUAAAAGAAUAUAUUUUACACAGGUUCUGAGAAUUGAACUCAGAUCCUCAUGCCUGCAUAGUAUGUUGGUGUGAAUAAAAUGGUUCCCACAGUCCCAUAGGCAGUUGUCUUAUUCGGAGGUGUGGCCCUGUUGGAAUAAGUAUGGCUUUGUUGGAGGAAGUGUGACCAUGGAUGGGCUUUUAGGUUUCAGAAGCUCAAGUCUGGUCAGUAUGUACUGUCUUCCUGCUGCCUUCAGAUCAAGAUGGAGAACCCUUAGCUCCUUCUCUAGCACCAUGACUGCCUGUGUGCUACCAUACUUUCCACCAUGAUGAUAAUGGAAGCCAGCACAAAAUAAAUGUUUUCUUUUAUAGGAGUGUUGUAGUCAUGCUUUCUCUUCACAGCAAUAGAAACCCAAACUACAACACAUAGUAAACACUUUUUUGAUGGAACUACUUCCCCAGACUUAUGCCUUUUUUAAAUGUUGUACAUGGAAAAUUCAUAUAUAACUCAUCCAUUAAACAGUCAAGAACUGGCCUACACCAAGAUUAUAGCAAUGUCUUAGUUUUCUUCUAUUGUAACUUGGGGAAGAAAAGGGUAUAAUUCAGCUUAUGGUUAACCACUGAAGGAGACCAAAACAUGAACUCAAAACAGGACAUAGAGGCAGGAACUGAAGUAAAGACCAUCAAGAAACACUGCCUACGGAGCUUGCUUUUCAUGGCUUUCUCAGUCUGUCUUAUACAACUCAAGACCACCUGCCCAAGGGCAGCACCAGUUGUACGGAAGAGGGUGGACCAAGGGCUGAAAAGGGCCACCCUAUGGAACACCCAAGAGGCAUAGGAUUGUCUUUGCUAGGAGUGGUGAGGAAGAAGGCCACUAGUUUUGAAUAGAGAUGAAG